GUAGUCAUAUGCUUGUCUCAAAGAUUAAGCCAUGCAUGUCUAAGUAUAAGCAAUUAUACAGCGAAACUGCGAAUGGCUCAUUAAAUCAGUUAUCGUUUAUUUGAUAGUACCUUACUACUUGGAUAACCGUGGUAAUUCUAGAGCUAAUACAUGCUAAAAACCCCGACUCACGAAGGGGUGUAUUUAUUAGAUUAAAAGCCAAUGCCCUCCGGGGCUCACUGGUGAUUCAUAAUAACUUGUCGAAUCGCAUGGCCUUGCGCCGGCGAUGGUUCAUUCAAAUUUCUGCCCUAUCAACUUUCGACGGCUGGGUCUUGGCCAGCCAUGGUGACAACGGGUAACGGAGGGUUAGGGCCCGACCCCGGAGAACGAGCCUGAGAAACGGCUAUUACAUCCAAGGAAGGCAGCAGGCGCGCAAAUUACCCAAUACCGACUCGGUGAGGUAGUGACGAUAAAUACUGAUACAGGGCUCUUUUGGGUCUUGUAAUUGGAAUGAGUACAAUUUAAAUCCCUUAACGAGGAACAAUUGGAGGGCAAGUCUGGUGCCAGCAGCC
rnacentral:rRNA from 1 species